rnacentral:lncRNA from 1 species
GGGUGGGCCGGGGCGAGGGCGGGGCAUUAGGCGGCGCGAGGCCAAUGGGAGGUCGGGCUGGGUCCUCUGGGCUGAGGCUGGGUGCCAGGCGGCGAGAAGCCAGUGGGGGGGCAGGUUGGGGGCAGGGGCGGGGCCCCAAGCCAAUGGAAGGGUGAUACCGAGGGGGCGGGGCGCCAGGCGGCGAGAGAGCCAAUGGGAGGCAGAGACGGGGACCGCGGGCCGUGGGCCGCCCCGCGAGGGGAGGGAGACCCGGAAGGCGGUGGGGGCGGGGAGUGGAGCUGACAACCUGUCAAAUCCACUUUGGGACGAACUAGGUCACGCGCUUCCCGGGCCGGGCACCCCCGCCCGCGAGGCCCGGCCGCGGUUCCUUCCUCUUCCUGCCUGCGGCGGUGGGGGUGGGGCGGGCCUCGGGACACCUGCCUUCGUCGCCGGCCGCCGGCCUCGUGCGGCUUCCCGGGCGGCUCCGCCUCGGCCGUACACCCCCGGCCCGCUCGCGGCGGGUGGAGCCGUGGUCCCGCAGGCCCAGCCGCGCUCUCUCCCUGGACACCGGGAGCCCCGCGCGGCCUCGCGGGCAAAACCUCUGGACUCCCCGCACCCCCGACCGUCUCCGCGCCGCUCCUUCUCGCGCGCGACCGUGGACUCGUCCCCGCGGGCCCGGGUUGGCAGAAGCUGCGGGGGCCGGGGGCGCACUACUUGGCGCGGAAGGGCCAGCGGCGGGCGGAGGGAUCCCCGUCCGCGGGGCAGAGGAAAAGACGUCAAAGACUCAGACAGAAGGCAGCGUGAAUCCAGGGCCCGGGAUGCAGGGUUUGCUGGAACGCCAGCCGGUGCGAUCGCGCCCCUGGGAUUCCGCUUGGCCCGCGCGACCCCUGGGAUUCUGCAGACCCUUUCAGUGGACCUGUGAGGCCCUUCGUUUUCCUACUUCAUAUCCGUGUGAGGCCAGAUUCUCUUCAUGUCAUUCAACCAAAACACCAUACUGCAAUAGACUGAAUGCAGAUAUGAGAACCAACUGUCCUCUAUUAAGCCAGAUAGCAAAGAGAUUUAUACAACUAUAAAACAAU